UCCUUACAUUCACGGAACAGUUUCUCUC
rnacentral:piRNA from 1 species